AUUGAACGCUGGCGGCAUGCCUUACACAUGCAAGUCGAACGGCAGCACGGGCUUCGGUCUGGUGGCGAGUGGCGAACGGGUGAGUAAAGUAUCGGAACGUACCAUUGAGUGGGGGAUAACGUAGCGAAAGUUACGCUAAUACCGCAUAUACCCCGAGGGGGAUAGCAGGGGAUCUUAGGACCUUGUGCUCUUUGAGCGGCCGAUAUCAGAUUAGCUAGUUGGUGAGGUAAAGGCUCACCAAGGCGACGAUCCGUAGCGGGUCUGAGAGGAUGAUCCGCCACACUGGGACUGAGACACGGCCCAGACUCCUACGGGAGGCAGCAGUGGGGAAUUUUGGACAAUGGGGGCAACCCUGAUCCAGCCAUGCCGCGUGAGUGAAGAAGGCCUUCGGGUUGUAAAGCUCUUUCAGCCGGGAAGAAAUCGCACAGGCUAAUAUCCUGUGUGGAUGACGGUACCGGAAUAAGAAGCACCGGCUAACUACGUGCCAGCCGCCGCAGUAA
rnacentral:rRNA from 1 species